rnacentral:snRNA from 1 species
GUGCUCACUGUGGCAGCACAUAUACUAAAGUUGGAAUGAUACAGAGAAGAUUAGCAUGGCCCCUAUGAAAGGAUGACAUGCAAAUUCAUGAAGCGUUCCAUAUUUUU